ACUGAGAGGCGGACGGGUGAGUAACGCGUGGGUAACCUGCCUCAUACAGGGGGAUAACAGUUAGAAAUGACUGCUAAUACCGCAUAAGCGCACAGUGCUGCAUGGCACAGUGUGAAAAACUCCGGUGGUAUGAGAUGGACCCGCGUCUGAUUAGCUAGUUGGUGGGGGAAUGGCCUACCAAGGCGACGAUCAGUAGCCGGCCUGAGAGGGUGAACGGCCACAUUGGGACUGAGACACGGUCCAGACUCC
rnacentral:rRNA from 1 species